rfam:Camelus ferus unplaced genomic scaffold scaffold2394, whole genome shotgun sequence.
GAGGGUAUAGCUCAGUGGUAGACUGCAUACUUAGCAUGCAUGAGGUCCUGGAUUCAAUCUCCAGUGCCUACA